UACGUAGGGUGCGAGCGUUUGUCCGGAUUUACUGGGCGUAAAGAGCGCGCAGGCGGUCGUUCAAGUCGAGUGUGAAAGCCCCCCGGCUCAACUGGGGAGGGUCACUCGAUACUGAUCGACUCGAAGGCAGAAGAGGGAAGCGGAAUUCCCGGUGUAGCGGUGAAAUGCGCAGAUAUCAGGAGGAACACCCGUGGCGAAGGCGGCUCUCUGGGACGGUACUGACGCUGAGACGCGAAAGCGUGGGGAGCGAACAGG
rnacentral:rRNA from 1 species